UACGUAGGGGGCAAGCGUUGUCCGGAUUUAUUGGGCGUAAAGAGCGUGUAGGCGGCCAAGCAGGUCCGCUGUGAAAACUCGAGGCUCAACCUCGAGAGGUCGGUGGAAACCGUUUGGCUAGAGUCCGGAAGAGGAGAGUGGAAUUCCCGGUGUAGCGGUGAAAUGCGCAGAUAUCGGGAAGAACACCCGUGGCGAAGGCGGUUCUCUGGGACGGGUACUGGACGCUGAGACGCGAAAGCGUGGGGAGCGAACAGG
rnacentral:rRNA from 1 species